rnacentral:rRNA from 1 species
AACCUGCGGAGGGAUCAUUACUGAGUGAGGGCUCACGCCCGACCUCCAACCCUUUGUGAACCAAACUUGUUGCUUCGGGGGCGACCCUGCCGACGACUCCGUCGCCGGGCGCCCCCGGAGGUCUUCUAAACACUGCAUCUUUGCGUCGGAGUUUAAACAAAUUAAACAAAACUUUCAACAACGGAUCUCUUGGUUCUGGCAUCGAUGAAGAACGCAGCGAAAUGCGAUAAGUAAUGUGAAUUGCAGAAUUCAGUGAAUCAUCGAAUCUUUGAACGCACAUUGCGCCCUUUGGUAUUCCGAAGGGCAUGCCUGUUCGAGCGUCAUUUCACCACUCAAGCCUGGCUUGGUAUUGGGCGUCGCGGUGUUCCGCGCGCCUUAAAGUCUUCCGGCUGAGCUGUCCGUCUCUAAGCGUUGUGGAUUUUUCAAUUCGCUUCGGAGUGCGGGUGGCCGCGGCCGUUAAAUCUUUAUUCAAAGGUUGACCUCUGAUCA